rnacentral:ncRNA from 2 species
GGGUCCGGGAAUAAGCAUAUUCCCGGAGGUUAAGGCUCUGAAUAGCCGGGCCGCUAUUC